rnacentral:rRNA from 1 species
AAGGUAGCGAAAUUCCUUGUCGGGUAAGUUCCGACCCGCACGAAUGGUGUAACGAUCUGGGCACUGUCUCAACUACCCACCCGGCGAAAUUGUAGUACCGGUGAAGAUGCCGGUUACCUGCGGCAAGACGGAAAGACCCCAUGGAGCUUUACUGUAGCCUGAUAUUGGGUUUCGGAAAUCUAUGUACAGGAUAGGCGGGAGACUAGGAAACAUGAGCGUCAGCUUGUGUGGAGUCGAUGUUGGGAUACCGCCCUUAGGUUUCUGGAAUUCUAACCUGCGGCCGUGAAUCCGGUCGGGGGACAUUGUCAGGUGGGCAGUUUGACUGGGGCGGUCGCCUCCGAAAAGGUAACGGAGGCGCUCAAAGGUUAGCUCAGCACGGACGGAAACCGUGCCUCUGAGUGUAAACGCAAAAGCUAGCCUAACUGCGAGGGUGACGGCCCGAGCAGUAACGAAAGUUGGAGUUAGUGAUCCGGCGGUAUGUGAAUGGAAAUGCCGUCGCUCAACGGAUAAAAGCUACCCUGGGGAUAACAGGCUGAUCUCCCCCAAGAGUCCACAUCGACGGGGAGGUUUGGCACCUCGAUGUCGGCUCAUCACAUCCUGGGGCUGUAUUCGGUCCCAAGGGUUCGGCUGUUCGCCGAUUAAAGUGGUACGCGAGCUGGGUUCAGAACGUCGCGAGACAGUUCGGUCCCUAUCUGUCGUGGGCGCAGGAUAUUUGAGGAGCUCUGUCCUUAGUACGAGAGGACCGGGAUGGACGUACCUCUGGUGCACCAGUUGUCAUGCCAAUGGCACGGCUGGGCAGCUAUGUACGGAACGGAUAAACGCUGAAAGCAUCUAAGCGUGAAGCCGACUCCAAGAUUAGAUAUCCCAUCGUAUAACGAGUAAGACCCCUUGAAGACUACGAGGUUGAUAGGCUGCGUGUGUAAGUGCCGUGAGGCAUUCAGCUUGGCAGUACUAAUAGGUCGAGGGCUUGACCAC